UUGACCCGUUAAUUUCCACUCGCCCCCAAUGUCGGUCGUCCUCCUCCUCCCAGAGAGAUAGCGCCAUGGUGAUUGGGAGCUCCGCCUCGCCGCUCGAUCCAAUUGUUUGGUGGUGACUCGUCCAUGCCUCGGGCUGUCCCGUUCCCUCCUCCUCCCUUCUGUGUCUGCCGCCGGUGUCUGCGGCAUCUCUCGGCCCCGCACACACCCGUCCCCAUUUUCCGUCGCCGCUUCUAUUCGUCGGAUCCGUAGCUACUCAUUUGCUGAGCAAUACCACAGUUGUUUACUGUGUUCUCAUGGAUAGCUAGACACCUAUGGGUUGUUGGCUAGCUGUUCAAUUCAAACAUGGAGGGAAAAGCUUCAGGGGUGUUAGGCGUGAGCAUUUUGGUGGCUCUCGCUCGCCUUUGUGCCUCUGAAAUAAGUUGUCUGGUAUGAGCUUUUGUCUACAUGCCCAACCCUUGUUAAUGUGUGUGUGAAGUGUGGCUUGCAUCCAGCUGGCCGCUUGCUUGUGUGGAUUGAUGGGUGUUUGCAAUGGGUUUUGAAACACUAGUACUAGUAAUUAAGAAGCAGCCAUUAUCUAUGUGGCCGCGGUGUGAGUGUGAUCCUCUCCUCAUACGAGUGUUUGGCAUGUAGUAUUUUGAACUAAGAAGCACUUGUGUGUGCCUGUAUGCUUGUCAUAUAUCCUUUUGAAAUAAGCAGGCAAGCAACUACUUGCCAAGUAACAACCAUCCCUUUACAUUCUAUAUUUUUGCAGGGUUGUCCAUGUUUUUCAGUAUUGUGUUGUUUCAGUUAGUGGUUCAGCUAGUGUUUGUUAUGUUGUUAGGAGGUGGGAGUUUUUGAAAUUCUCACUAACAUUCAUGGAGGAAUUCCAGCAGUUUUACGUGUCAGUUCACUGUAAAUCUAGUAUAUUACACUGUAAUCCAACUUCAAUUAUACUGUAGAACUCACUGUAAUUCAUCUGUCAUUUGCACUAUAAUACUACUAUUCUUACACUGUAAAUCUAGUGUAAAGUGUCACUGGGAAUUGCAUUAGUUAUACUGUAUAUUACACCAUAUUUACGGUGUAAUUGUACUGUAUAUUACACUGUAAGACUCACCGCAUUUCUACUGUAUAAUUCUACUAGAAAUUACACGGCAAAUCACAUGCUCAAUCUAUUGGAAUUAUACUGUAUCUUUUACACUGUAAUUCUAUUGCAAAUUACACUGUAAAUCUACUAUAAACUACACCGUAAAUCUGCUGAAAUUACAGUGUAAACUACACUAUUUACACUGUAGUUCUACUGUAUUUUUUACACUGUAAGUCGACAGUGUAAUUCAAAUUGUAAAACUGUAAAUAUUGUGGUUUAAUAUAACUGCAGAAUUUUGCACUCUAAAUUACACUGUAAAUCGACUCUGUUUUGACUGUAAAUCUAUUGUAAAUUAUACUGUUAAUUUACUAUAUUUCUACUGUACAUCUACUGUAAUUUACAUUGUAUUGUGAGUCUACUCUAAUUUCCAGUGCAAUUCUGGAAAGUAAUUGUACUGUUCAAUGCAGUAAUUUCUAGCAAGUAACAGUGCUAGUAAAUAGCAUUUCCUAGUCUUUCUACAAUGUAAUUUCUGUUAUGUAGUUGUGUAAUUUUUUUUUCAGAUUUUCACUGUAAGUACUGAUUUCUUACUUUUGCCACGUAGAAACCUAGAUUGUCCUGAUUCAUAAUUCAUGGAAACUUAUGUUGUUGUAUCCUUUAGUAUUAAUUUUGUGGCUUCUCAUGGUUGCUUUUCACUGUAAUUCUCAGUUGAUUGCAAUAUAAUUCCUUUUUGGAUUUACAGUGUAAUUCCUUUUGUAUUUACAGUGUAAUUCCUUUUGGAUUUACAGUGUAAUUGCCUUGGAAUUUCAGUGAUUUACUGUGUAGUUCAUAGUGGAUUUUUUAGUGUAACUAAGUAUAUCUUCAGUGUAAUUUUCUAGCGGAUAGGUAUACAGCAUAAUCCGUAGUUGUUUUUCACUGUAAUUCUUAGUUGGUUGCAGUGUAAAUCCUUUUGGUUUUGCAGUGUAAUUCCUUUUUGGGGAUUUACAGUGUAAUUCCUUUUUGGAUUUAUAGUGUUUUUGUGAGUGGAUUUACAGUGUAUUUGUGAGUGGCUUUCCAGUGUAAUUGCCUUGGAUUUACAGUGUAUUUGCAAGUGGAUUUACACUAUAAUUGGUAGUUGAUUUACAAUGUUUUUUGCAAGUGGAUUUUUCAGUGUAAUUGAAUUGGAUUUACAGUGUAUUUGCGAGUGGAUUUGCAAUGUAAUUCAUAUUGGACUUUCAAUGUAUUUGUCACUGUAUUUACAGUGUAAUUAUCAGUGUGUUCUAAAAAAAUUCUUAGUGGGCUUGCAAUGUUUUUCCUAUUUAUAGCCCAUGCCCAUGCCCUUUCCCUUUUUGUAUCCUAGUUUUCGCAUGCUUGAGUGUAUAGAUUCAGUAGAUUCUCUCCCAUUUCUCAGUGGAAAUCCUUUUAAGUAGAUUCUCCCCCAUUCAGUAGAUUUAGAACAAAUAGUGGAUGUGCAUUGCAAGCAUUGAAAUCUUCUUAGAUGGGUAGUGGGUUUAUAGUGGUUAUGUAGUGAAAUAAAAGAGAUGUAGACUGUAAAUGCUAUCAAUGCAUAUCUUCUUUAUAUUUUUGUUAUGUCUUAUCCCUUCUGCCAUUUCAUCUCAGACUUUUUGCCCUUUAAUUUGUGUCUGUAUAUAUUUAGGUUAUAGUUUAAAGUAUGGGUAGACUCAUGAAGGCUUUUGGUAAGGACACUUAUGCUGCUUGUGUUGAAGAUUCUGAUGAUUCAGAUGGGGAUCCUUUUGUCCCCAAUGAUGUUGCUGAGGAUGAUCCUUUUCAAGCUUCGGAGGAAGGUCAAAAUGGAUGAUCCUGAUUUUGAGAAAGCUUUUGUAUGAGUUCUAUGUGUCUCAUAAAGUGAAUUGCUGAAAACGGAGGAUUACAAAUGUUGGAGCUUGCAAUGUGGAAAGCGACCAUGGCUAGCAGCAGCCGCAUCCCAGCCAUGAGCCAUCACCUUGGGCGAGAUCUGUGUUGCCCAGCGUGCGGACUGGCUAGCGGCGGUGCUGGCCAUUGGCACGGCAAACCCGCCCCACUGCGUGCCGCAGGGCAUCGGCAUGCGUUUCUUCCACACACCGAUGAACUGCUCGCCACGCACCCGGACUUGUCCCUCGACGCCACCUCGGCUGCGGUGAAUGCAAUCGCCGAGUGGGGCUGUACGGCGGGCGACAUCACCCAUCUCGUCGUCAUCACCAACGCGGGAUCGCAUGCCCUGGGCACCGACGUCCGCUUGGUCUUGCCCUCCUGGUCUUGCCCUCCGCCUCGGCGUCCUGCGCAACUGAUGGUUUAUUUUUGACUAGUACUUGAUGGUUUAUUUUUGACUGUAGUACCUGAUGGUUUAUAGUGUAGUUAUUUCUUGAUUUUGCUCUGUAAUGCCCAGUGGAAUUACACUGUAUGCUAAUUGGUUUUACAUAGUAAAUCUUAGCGGUUUUACAUAGUAAUUUACACAGUAGUUUACACUGUAAUUUUAGUAAAUUCUUACUGGAUUUUACUGUAUUUGUAAGGGGGGUUUUCAGUGCAUUUUUUGUCAUUUUAGUGAUUUCUGCAGUGCUAAUCUUAGUGGCAUUUGCAGUGUAAAUUUACUGGAUUUUAAUCUGUAUUUUCUUAUUGGCA